rnacentral:rRNA from 1 species
GAUGAACGCUGGCGGCGUGCUUAAUACAUGCAAGUCGAACGGAAAGGCCCUGCUUUUGUUGGGUGCUCGUGUGGCGAACGGGUGAGUAACACGUGAGUAACCUGCCCUUGUCUUUGGGAUAACUUCAGGAAACUGGGGCUAUUACCGCAUAGGAGCUCCUGCUGCAUGGUGGGGGUUGGAAAGUUGCGGUGGUGGGGGAUGGACUCGCGGCUUACCAGCUUGUUUGUGGGGUAGUGACUUACCAAGCCUUUGACGGGUAGGCUGCCUGGGAGGGUGGCCGGCCACAUUAGGACUAAGAGACGGCCCAGCAUCCUACGGGAGGCAACAGGGGAGAAUAUGGCACAGUGGGCGGAAGCCUGAUGCAGAAGCGCCGCGUGCGGGAUGACGGCCUUCGGGUUGUGAACCGCUUUCGACUGUGACGAAGCGUGAGUGACGGUAAUGGGUAAAGAAGCACCGGCUAACUACGUG